rnacentral:rRNA from 1 species
UACAGAGGUCCCAAGCGUGGUUCGGAUUCACUGGGCGUAAAGGGUGCGUAGGCGGUCGGGUAAGUCUGAUGUGAAAUCUCACAGCUUAACUGUGAAACUGCAUUGGAUACUAUUCGGCUUGAGAGUUGGAGGGGGGACUGGAAUUCUUGGUGUAGCAGUGAAAUGCGUAGAUAUCAAGAGGAACACCAGUGGCGAAGGCGAGUCCCUGGACAACUUCUGACGCUGAGGCACGAAAGCUAGGGGAGCAAACAGG